CCAAGGCCUGCCCCCCCCUCUCUCUCUCUGCUUGAGGCUGCGGCCGGGAGGCAGCCAAAUGGCGACGCGCGCCUCCACUCCGGUCCUCCGGGAACCUGCGCUGCGCACACACUGCAUGCCUCCAGGCGUCGCCGACUGAGUGCGGGGUCAACUAGCAAACAUUAGCGACGGCCAGGAGGGAGGAGGACGUUUGUAGCUCCAUUGGGCGUGCCGCCGUUGCCGGUGCCGGUGGUGACCGGCACUAGCUAGCUGGAGGCCGGAUGGGCGUUCGCGUCGUACGUGGGGGCCUGGCCGUUCAUCUGAGGUGCGCCGCGUGUCAGGCAGUCUGCAAUACGACCGGCUUACUGAUGCUAUGGAAUAAGCUAGACAAUUCGCAGAAUAAUUGAAUAGGAACCCACUUGUCACUGGCCUACUAAAACAAAAUUCCUCACAAGGAUUUCAUUAUCUUCGGCACGAGGUCAGAUUUCCCUCUGCAUACGUGUGUCUGUUGCUUGAAAUAUAUCCACAAGUACAGUUCUAGACACACACACACAAAAGUACAGUUCUACACAAUCAAGGGCUGUAGCACACAAACCUUUAUGCCCUGUUUGGAAUGGAUAUAGCUUUUGUGUGGGCACCAGUUUGAACUAAAUACCUAUCAGGAUCUUGGUAGGUUGGUAGGGGAAUUUGGGAAUUGUCCUGACCAGAAAAGGGGAAUGGGGAUCGAAAGAUUGAGGCGGAUAAGCUAGGGUUCUAGUACAGGGAAACGUAAAGAAGGUCACAUAAGAGUUUAUAAAGAACUCGUGUGGUGAAUCACAGGUAGUCUCAGUUACAGUUUACUGGAAGGGAUUAAUACAAGACUGAAAUGAAUUGAAACAGGGAAAGGUAAUUUGCCCAGAUGGCUUCUGGCCGUUGGAUCUAAAAGUUCCUGACUGUCCGAUUAACAUAACUCUUUGGAGGUCCAAGAAUACGUCUUCUCCUAGAUUUGACGCCUUCUCCCCUGUUUCCAGACUGAACUUACUGUAACCUGGCGCUUUGAUUCAGACCUGCAUAAUUUGGGAUACUGACAAUACCGAUGCCCACACAUACAUCCAUUCCAAACAGGUCCUUAUGCUGAAUUUAGAAAAUCUAGUAGUAGCAGUUAACUCCUUCUGAGUUAUGAUGAAACUAUCAUAGGCAGUCACAUGCAUAGUAAAAUAUCCAGUGAGCUCUUUUUGCUCUGCCUAUCAUUUACCAACACGUAGGAACUAAUAUAACACACACAUUCAGCCCAUUAUCUCAGGAUGCAAGUACUUGAUUGAACUUUUCUAUAGUAGAAUUGAUUAUCAAAAUGGAAACUACAUACCCUACACCAGUAGAUAAUAAAAAUAUAUACUCAGUAGGAGAAAAUAUUUCCUUUAAGAAACCGAGAGGAAUUAAUUAUGUCUAGUUAGAGCAUCAAGAUAGUGAUGAAGCACUAAGCUGCUGAAUUAGUGAAAGAGGGCCCUUGAUGAAAAUAGCUGAAAGCAGAGCCAUUUUUCUGAUGGAGCAAGGGUCUAACAGGAACCAGAGACUUGAUGCAUUGACACAAAAGUUAAUUGCAGGUGUCUACAGAGCCACUGAAGUGUACCUUCUUGGAUUUUGUAUUCCUCAAAGCAUCUGUCAAGAGUUUCUCCAGUUUCUCCAGCUUAGUGGCAUCGGAGUCAUCAGCAUUAUUUUGAAGAGACCUGCAGAAUUGCACAUAACCAGCUUAGGAAAAAACACAGUAAAUAACAUACCAGGAGAGAUUAUGAAAGGUCUCAAUGGCUACCAGGAAGCGAUGUCUUCAAGCCUUGACUGUAUGUUUGAAGGAUCACCAUCCUGGUUCAGAACCAAAAUAUCAUGUCAGAGAUAUGUAAGUAUAUAAACAAUCAUAUGAUUUGACUACCCUGGAUACAAAAUGAUGUAAGUACAACCUAGUCUUAGGUUAUAGAAUAUAGAUGGCUUAUUUGGAUAAACUAGUAGCUACCAAAAAUAAUCCAUAUUUGUAUUCAUUUUGCUGGUCCUGUGCAUAGGCGACAUAAUCCUUGAUUACAAAUGCUUCAUCAUGCUAAGGAUAUUUCUAUGGAAACUUCAGAAAUAUAGACUGAUUGAAUCCACACUAUAAUGCUUGGCAGUUAUACAAUUUACACCUAAACAAGCUCUAAGAUAUGCAAUAAGAAAAGCUAUAUAGAUUAAUUUACAUUUUUGUUCCUUGCAUCGCCUCCAUUCACGUUCAUUCCGGGUCCCGCAAAUCUCUGAUAGCGAUCAUAUGUAGCUUCUAUGCUGAAAACAAAUGUAGCGCAUUAACGUUUGGAAACUCACUGUAAUAAAGCUGAAAGACUCUGUUCAAACAAAAAUUCUAAGUAUUGAGAAGAAACAGUACAAUAUAAUUAAUUUCUUUCUCUUUAAUAAUUUGGUGAAUACCUGCAUAUAGGUUCAUCAUAUCUUUUACCUGUCAAACAAAGUUCACACACUUUUAUAUUACUUUUCUCCUUAUAAAACCAUCUACUUUUGGACACUUGUUUAGAAGCUGAGAUAUAUUUAGGCCUUUUUCUUAGCCCGUUUGUUUCCCUUCAAGUGCAGUGCUGUCAUAAUGAGGACAUCAAUUCAAGGGACGAGUAAAGCGACGGCGAUACCAUUGAGAUGAUGGAGUUGAUGAAUUUAGGCAUGUUUGUUGAGGUUUCAUUGAAGUGACAUAGUAGAAAGAACUGAAUACUGAACGACCUACAUCUUUAUUUGUGAGAAAUAAUUAAAUGUUUAGUUAGUGACUUUUCAGACGACUCAAAGUAAUGUUAGUGUUUUUUCAGACGACUCAAAGUAAUGUUAGUGUUUUUUCAGACGACUCAAAAUAUACUAUAUAUAGGGAUUAACGAAUAUUUGCCAAUGAACAUUCCGUUUUAGGGUAUUUGUCGAGAUUAUUACAAAUAUAAUAGUCGUUGUUAUAUUUUUUUGAGUCAUAUGAAAUGUCAUGUAGUUCUAGUAGAUUUUUUUGUUUACCAAUUAAAAAAUUCAGUUAUGAAAACUAAAAAACAACUAUUUCCUGUUGUUUAUAUUUGAGGUGUUAGCCGAUUCAAUAUUUGACAUGACAAUUCUCUAAAGGGGGGUUGUAAAGUGGUAUGAAAUGUUGUAGUAGUAGGGUUAGGUAGACAUAGGUGGAGAGUUCACUCCUCCGACUGAAUCACCCCUCCAUGGGCCCGAGGGCUCUUUGCCUACCCCAAGACGUUGUCUCCUCGGGGUUCUCCAAGGUCUUAUCUCAAGAGUUUGGGCCUUUGGGGAAGGUGUAUAACGCUACGGCUGCUACCACCGGUUCCUGGUUGUUAUGCCUAUCGGUAUCUAGACUGGACCCACAGACCAAACUAGGCUUUUCUACGCACUUUGUCUUCACUCAUGCUCACCCGGGAAGAACUUCUCAGUCGGUCAUCCUUCGUCAAAUUACCCCAGGCCAGGCAUGCUUAAUCUAGAGGUUCUUUGGAGAUGAGCUUUCAGAAAAGAAGAUGCACCUUGUUGAUAUGCGUAGUCUAUCAUUCGUAUUAAGCGUGGAUGUCACAUACACCCCCACUCAGAGGAAUCGACGUCCUCAUCGGCCUAGCAAUGACUGUUCUCUUUGGCAAAGUCUAUGCGCUCAGUACCAGCACAUGUGGCAUGUCAUGUGCCAGUACCAGCACAUGUGGCAUGUCAUGUGCCAUGACAGGCCACACAUGCCCGUGUCCCUGAGCCACACACGCUCGUGUAACCGCAAGGGCCGGCUCUGAUACCAUUUGUAACACCCUGACAACCAUCAGUGGUCUUGGUCGUUAUGCCAGGUGGGAUCUGCAAUGGCCCCGCAAGUAGUCUUUCCUGGAUACUUUGUCCUCACUCGUGGUCACCCGGGAAGAACUUAGCGGUCGGUCAACCAUCCUCAAAUUACCCCGUGCCAAGCACGCUUAGUCUGAAGGUUCUUUGGAGAUAAGUAUCCAAAAAGAAGGUGCACCUUGUUGAUAUGAGUAGUCUACCAUUGGUAUUAAGCCAGGAUGUCACAAGGUGUUUGACCUAGAGUACAAUACCCAACCAGUAUAGUUACUUGCCCCUUCAACUACAUUUUUUCGAGUUUUAAGCUAGGAACCACUAUAAAUUCCUUUUGAACAAUAUUAUUAUCUUCCUUUUAGAUUUAAGAGUGUAUCAUCUUCACAAGCCCUUGCUCGAUAUUUUUCUUUUGUUCCAUAACAUUUGCACCAUUCUUCGAGAAUCGCUAGAACAACUAGAAAAAACAGGAACCUCAACAAGACCUCCCUCUUAUCCACCUAAGAGAUAGUUGAUCUGGAGAGCUAAGACGGUAAGGAUGCCCUUAUUUCCAUUCUUGACAGAAGAGACCAAUAAUUUCAUGUAGGCCAAGACCACGGAAAAAGUCAAUUUGCCUAACAGAAGCAUAAUCCAUACUAUAGGGCAUUACUUGGUACAAUUAACAGAGUUGUGACAAAUAGGUUUGUGUCACGAAAAAAGAGCCAACCUUGAUUAUCGAACUACCGACUCGGUUCAUCAUGGAUUCAGUGCGAUGAGCUCAAAGAUGGUGAUAGGCGAUUCAAGCAAAAGGGAGGCAUCUAUCCUUGUAGUGGGAGGGGUCUCUAUACUCCGAGGUGGAUCAGGCACAAAAAUUAGCUUAGACCUCCACGAAAGCCUCUACAUAGCUCGAGAAAUAGGCCUACAUGAUGGCCAUUAUGUCUAAAUGGGUGGUACAAGUAUACAACUAAAUAUGCAGCAGAAUAUGUUGAUAUCCUUAAAUUUCCUACUUCAGUAUGACCCGUUACAAAUAUUUUAUCAAACACAAACACAUUUAUAUCACCACAAUGAACAUGGAAGCUUCCCUAGGUCUCGAGCCUCGCCUUAAUGGAAAUCAGUUUUGCACUCCUAAAGCCUUAACAAGAGCACUUCAAAGGUGUAAAAGGGUUGACGCAAGAGCUUGUUCUUGGAUGUGCUCGCCCACCAUACAAGCAAACUAUUGGGUAGCAUGGAUAUGGUUAGCUCAUGAUAAUGAUCCUCAUCAUCAUUUGUGCAAAUCCUGGAUGAAUGUGAGCCACAAGAAAACCAAAUCCAUGCAAAGACACUUUAAGCACUUGAGAAAGGACUCAUGAGUGUAUUGUCACGGUUGGGAAGCAUCAUUGCCGUCAUGGCCCAUGAAGCACCCUAUCAAGGGAGUCUUUGAGAACACCCCAAAAGGAGUCGUAAAGGGACACACUAUGGGAGUAGUGCUUCCACACUUCAGAGGUCAUUGGUGACACUGAAUGAAUCCUUUUUCUCCACAUCUUUCUAUAGGAAGGCCUCCUUAUUGGUGGCAUACCAAUGCUUGUCCAUAGUUGGACACAUGCAAGAGGAAAAGGAUGAAGAAACUCUAUCUUAAAAGAUAAAUUCUAGUAGAUGAGAAAAUACACUAACGGUGCAUAUAAUCUAGCUAAGGAGUUUUGGUGAUUAAUGGCGAGACAAACAAGGGUACUAAUUAUUUCAUAUUAGGUCACUAUGCUAAGUGGAAACAAAAAUUGGCAACUCCUCAUAAAGAAGUUUGCCCAGAGCUCAAAUAGUUUGUAAUUUUCUAGGAUUUUAGUAGAUCUAAUAUUCCACAUUGAAUCUAAGGACUACCAUACAACCAAGAGAGUCACACACAUUAUAACUAGAAUGAACACUUACAAAUCUUCAAGCAAUCCCUCGUGGUUUAAACACUUACUAUCUCAUGACAAACACUUUACGCUUUCCUGAUACCUUCGGGCUAAUCGUUCAAAACCACCUAACAUAGUGAUUUGUGUGAGUUGUUGACUAAACUAGUUGUUUUCCAAAGUUUCUUUUUGAAACUACUUAGUCUUAUCCAUAGCAGAUAGGCUAUGUCGUUAUUCAGACUUCUCUGUUAGGCAUGCUUCCCUUUGAGGUUUUCCCUGUCUAGUAGUUCCAAGCUAGUAAGUUUUGCUCCAACCACAAUAUAACUUUGGCACAUUUGAGCGAUGCUUUUUUGGAACCUCCAAUUGGGAUUUAGCCUUCCACCAAGAUGUUUUCAGAGGGUGCUUUGUUAGGUCAAAUACCUCCAUGCAAGAACUAUUCGGUAUUUCCAACUGCCUCCUUUAUGGCUAGACCAUGUUUUUUUAACGUGUGGCACCUCUAAGUUAUCUUCAUCUGAUACCUUCAGCUAGUUGGCUUCCAAAGGUAAUUUUGGACCACCUGGCUCUCCAUUUAGCAACGGAAGGCCUUUCAUUCCUUAAUAUUUUGUCAUUUCUGGUAGUCCAAAUAUUCCAACAUGCAAUAAAAAUAACCUAGACAGAAAAGGCUUUGCAAACUCCUUCCUGGCCUUGUUAGCAAUAGCACACAUAUCAUUUCCACCAGGCCAACAGGCUUGUAGAUAAUUCUAGAUCCUCAUACUGAAAUUACACAUGAAGAAACAAAGAUAUGUGUCCUCUCUGGCAUGUGUUGGGCAUAGAAUGCAAUCCAUUACACCAGAUAUACUCCAAGGCCUUCUUUGCAACAUGUCCUUCAUAUUUAACGUGUCCAUUAUCAUCAUCCAUGCAAACACUUUGAUAUUUAUGGUGCAACAAUUUUUGCAAAUCACAAUAGGAUGGAAUUGGAAAUAUUUGGAGAAUGAACCAAAUCAUAGUACAUUUUAGGUGUAAAACCAUCAUAGUUUCUCCAAGGCAAACAUCAUUUUUAUCUGGUUGCCUAUUCAGAGAGGAUAGCAUCUGCUGAAUAUCAUGCAAUUCCUGAUAAGCAACAUCAGAUAGGGGUAGAUGAAACAAUGAUAAAAUGUCAUCGCAUUCCAACACCUCCUUCAUAGUGAUGUAAGGAUCUUUAGCAUAAGAGAAAAGCCUCACAGUGAUGUAAGGAUCUUUAGCAUAAGAGAAAAGCCUCUGGAAGCUUUGUUGUAAAGGAAUAACAGGCCUGGAGUGCUGCAAGAAAUCAUUCCAGAAAAGUAUUGUGUCACCUUUGUUUACUUUUACCCAUGUGACAUUCCUGAAACCAUCAACCAAGUUGAGAAUGUCCUUCCACCAGUAAGAACCACAGGCAAGAAUAAAGGCAUGGAGGACACGGCAGAAUUAAGCAGCUGCAAUCGCCACCUUGGUCUAAGAAGGAUGAGCUUGCAGUCAACCUCCUCUACAUACAAUCAACCAAAGGCAGCAACUCCAAAAUCCUAGGCCUAGUAGUGCCCACAAAGAGACCUAGAUAAGUAAAAGACAGCUUUCCUAGUUGGCAACCAAAAACUCCAGCAAGCCUUGAAGCCUCCUCUUCAUUAAUAUUAAUUGGCAGUAAUGGAGAUUUAUGAUAAUUAACUACGAGGCCAGUAGAUUUGGUCAAUGUAGCUAGCAUUUUCUUCAAAGCAAAAAAGGUGAGAGUCCACAACAGGCAGGAUUAUAAGUGUGUCAUCGACAUAUUGGAUUAUGCGAAACUCUUUGUCAUGGCAUGGUAUGGGGAGAUGCGGCUCACCCCUUCGAAGCAUCAUGUUUACGAUAGACUGCAAUAAACCAGCAGCAAGCACAAAAAGAAGGGGGUAGAGGAUCUCAUUGCCCGACCCCUCUAUGCCAUUUAAAAUGCCUUCCAGGUGUAGAACUGCACGCACCAGGCAGUUCACCCAAACGCUCAAGCUGGUGGAGAAAGGAGGGCUAUGCAUUUAUACGUCAACACUCCCCCUCACGUGUUGCUCCCUCAAGCCUAAACGUGGACCGAAAGUGGGCUGCAAUUUAGUUGCACCAGCCGGGUCUUGAACUCAAGACCACUUGGCUCUGAUACCAUGCAGAACUGCACGCACCAAUCAGUUCAGCCAAAAGCUCAAGCUGAUGGAGAAAGGUGGGCUAUGCAUUUAUAUGUCAACACCAAGUAUACCAAUAAGUAGUAUUGAUGAGGUUUCAGAAGCUAGAAAUUCCUUAAUCCAUGAGAUCCACCUGAGAUCAAAACCCCGAGCUUGAAGGAUUUGGAGGAUGGCCUCAUGUUUAAUUGUGUCAAAUGCCUUCUCAAAAUCAAGCUUUAAUAUCACAAUGGGUCUCUUAGACUGGUGUAGAUAUUCCAAAGUCCAGGACAAACUGUCUUAAACAGUUUUAGACAUUAUAAAACCAUACUGAUUCUUGUGCAUAGUCCAUGAUGACACCCUAAAGCCUUUAAGUUCUGGAGGAGCCAAUAGUUUGUACAAGGCCAGAGAUCGCCUACUCCGUGUGGAGACCUACCCCGAGUUAGGCUUGGACCGGGUGUCCAUGGUCAUGGCGAUAGGUGGGCUUAGACCUUGGCGGUUGGAAAUCAAGGCCUUUGUGAUCUUAGGACUUAAUUGGUGUUUGAUCCUCCACCAAUGUGGGCGUAUGAUGAUUGCACCAAUACAUCUUCGUGUUUGGAAGCCCUAUCUCUUGCCCCCUUUACUUGUUGCAAGUUUUGCUUCCACAUUACUCUCUUAGAUACAUAAACGAUCCUACAUGUAGCCCAAAUGUUAUAGCUUGUGUUGCGUGAGCGGAAGUAGGUUCAAAUUGAGAAAAUGUAAAUCUACUAACAUGGCAAGGAAAACUUCCCUCCAUCAAGUUUUGUACAUAAUGGCACAAUAGAAUUAUGUCCUUAGGAACUAAGAAGAAAUACACCUAAAGAAAUCGCCAAUGGGCAUGGCAGUUGAUACACACAAAAAGUGGCUAGGGGGCAACAUCUUGUAAGAUAGCCUUGAACAUCCCCUCAUGAGCCAAGGUAGGUCCACAUUUUGCAGAAAUUAAAUUCCUUUUUAUAUACCUCCAGGCAUUUGUUUGUUUGUAAGUCUGAGGGCUAAUAGGUAAUGUUUGCUUCAGAAAGGAAGCAUUGUGCCAAUCCAUACCCAUUAGGACUUGAGUUGGGUUUAGGCCUCAUAAACUAGGCCAUUUCCACGAGGAUAAACCAAGUUCCUCAAAAAAUAUAAUUGAAGUAGCAUUACAUCAAAAACCAUCUCACUCUCCAAGGCCCUCGUAACCUACGGGCUCAGGUUGCCCAUUGGCUCCUUUGAUUGUUGGUGUGCCCAGACAACCUGGUGAAUGUGCACACUAGCAUACUAGAGAAGAGGGGGGAGACCAUGACCAUGGGGGUAGCUGCAACCCAAGGACCUCUUCACCUUAUUGUACCAUGCGUCAUUGUGGAUCCCUUGAGCAUUGAAGGAGAGGACAUCAAAGCACAAGAAUUAUGACAAAGCAAGUAUUAUGGCAAAACUAGAUGACUUGAGAAGAGGAAGGGCGCCAUGAUGACAUGGGUGGCUACAACUCGGGGGGCUUUGAGGUGGUUUCAUCAUAUAUAUUGGACGCCACAAUCAUGAACAACAAAAAUGGUUCUAGUGUCAAAGAUAUGAGGGUAUCCAAGAUGAAAGGAGUAAGAACACAAAAUAUGAUAUGUGACAAUGGGUUCUACUUGAGAUAGAAUCAUUUGGUGGAGGGGGUUGGCGUAAGAAUGAAGUUUGCCACAAGACACAAGUCAAACUUACAACCUAAAUAAAGACAUGACUUAAAUGACCAAAAGUACACCUUAAACAUCACAAUGUCUUGUCAAGUUACUGUCUGAAGUUUGGAUCGAAGUCUACAUUAGAUUAUAAGAAUAUAUAGACUAGAAUUGCUAAGGAAAACCAUAACAUUUCAUCAACACAAUAUAUCCUAACACUGAAAUUUCUCCAUAUAAAAGACUAAAGUUUAGCUUUAAAUAUGCAGGCUUGGGGACAAAACCCAAUAAAAGCUUUAUCUUUCCUAAUCAAUAGGUUCGUAUUUUUAUGAAUGCAUAGAAAUACAUGAAAAAACACUUAAUUAUAUUAACAUGAAAUUUGGUGAAGGGAGUGAAAAUUAGUGCAACACCAUAUAUUCUCUUUUAUAAAACAACUAAUUCUUCAUAUAUUAUUAAAAGUUUACUUUGUGGUCAAUAUUGAAAAGCAUAGAUACACUCGGGUGACUCUUUACAAGGUAGAAUAUAUUAAAAUUUUGUAUGUAUCACUAAAGUUAUUUUCAACCAAGUAAAAGGAACAUCUUACGAAAUUAAACUUCAAAUAUGAAAGGAGUUCACACUGAAGUACUAAAAAUUGCAAUAUUCACUUGAAAAGCUAGUUUACAAAGGAAAAUGUUCAAACGAAAUCAAGUGUCUAUAUAUGAAAGAAUCAUGCGAACAAAGAAUAUUGGUAUAACAUGAUAAUUAUAUAUCAUUGUAGGCACCAUCAAGACGAUACAAAGCAAAGUUCCUGUAAAUCCUGUUGUUGCAGCAAUUUCCACUUGAGAGAAUAUUUAUCGCGUAGAAUUUCCUAUGACACCUUUUAAAACGAAGUUAGACCGAGAAAUGCAAAUGAACCAUCAAACUUUAGAAAUCACAUUACCAUAAAAAUCACCAACCAGCAAUCAGAUCAUUACAUGCUAUUGUAAUACAUCUUUGCGCAAGACGUUCCUUUUCAACAAUUUCCAUAAAAGAUUUUGAAACGACUACAAAGUGACAUCCAGUCCAUAAUUGAAGUACUAACAAGGUCAAAUAAUUUCCGAUGCACUCGCCUAUUUUCAAUUCAUAAUGUAAAGUUUACUAGCUACAAAUUAUGUACUAAAUUUAUAACUCUUACUUUCAAAAAAUUCUUCUAAAUAUACAUGUAUUUACAUGUAGAAAAUAUUUGUGUUCAUUAGACAUGCACCAAAACAUUUUGCAAUAUAUAUUAUAGUGUAUAAACAAUAACUACAUGUCACAUUUAGGCAAAAUUAGUCAAGUAUCAUAGCAUCAUCUAUCCAUUUGCUCAAUUGCCAAGCACAAAACUUAUAACACCUGCUAGACACAAAGAAUAGGCUUAAUGUAGACAUCUUAUAGGUAAACACCACUUUUUAUUGAGCUUGCACGAAUCUAAUUGGAUGAUAGAAUGAUCUAUCUGCAUUGGAUAUCUAGACAAUAUCUAAGAUGAUAUGCGACAUCAUCCUCUCCUUAUUAAUUACUCGUUACAUAGACAAAUUUGAUAUGGAGGCAAAGAAAACAGUGUAAGAGGUGAAACAUCAUCCUCUUUCCUCAUCACCAUGCCUAUGUAGACAAAAACGUUAAUGUGAAAGUCUAAGAGAUGGCACCGAAUGUAGGGCACUAAGAGAGGCCAUAUUUUGACACACUCUCCCUAGCCCAAGUCUUUUUCCAAUGAUAAAUAUUCCUUAUGAAAGUUCACUAUGGGGUCUUUCCAUGGAUAUAAGGUCAUUUUAGAUAAUUUAUUGACUAGAUUUUAUUAUCAUGAGUAAUUGGGAUAAUCGUGUUUGAUAGAUCUAUUGCAUUUUAUUAUUAUCAGCACAUCGAAUUGGCGCAAUCAGUAUUUAGUCAAGAGGAUAUGCCUAUGUUGUUGGAUGGUCAGUGUAACUCGAUUGGUUGAAGUCUCGAGAAAAGUGGUCAUAUUGUCAUGUGAAAUCUUAAUGCAUAGUUCUAAAAAAAGAAAUCUUAAUGCAUGUGUAACAUUCUUGAGGACUAGUGAGUUCUUCAAAUGGAUUUGAAAUGACCUACAAAGGUUAUGAUUGUGAUUUUAUAGAGUAAUGUGGUUAGCUUCUUGGGAAUCAUAUGAUGGAGAAAUGUGGUUAGCUUCUUGUGCACUAAUUAAUUACUUGAAAUGCUUGAUUAAUGAUGUUGACCUGUUCAUCCUACAUGUUGUUUGUUGGAAAUGUUGUAUGUAUAAGGGUAUGCUACUUCGCAUGAUUGUUAUGACAGAAGGACAUUAUCUAUUCACCUAACAAUGGGUGUUGACUUUGUGGAUACUGAUGUUAGAACUUGUAUCUAUUCACCUAACAUACAAGACAUUUUCUUUGAGUUUUGGUAGAAUUUCAUCAGUUCAGACUUUUGGUUGCGUUGGCUAAUGCAUGAAGCUUAACAUAGUAUCAAAGCCUAAGGUCCUAGUCAAGUCCUGGCUUUCACAAUUUAUCCAAGUGGAUUCACAUAAUACGAUAUAAUGUGAUACUAUGCAUAAUUUGUUUUUGCAGCAUUGAUGUGUAUGGUAUGGCCCAUUAUGUAUGUGAUGCAUGUGUGUAUUUUUCAUGACAUGCGAGUCAUGAGUACCUCACCCAGGCUAAAGCCAAUGAGCUAUCAUUAAUUGUGUUAA